UUGGCUUUCUAACCCGCACCACUUAUCGUGGUGGGAGACAGUGUCAGGCGGGCAGUUUGACUGGGGCGGUCGCCUCCUAAAAGGGAACGGAGGCGCUCAAAGGUUCCCUCAGAAUGGUUGGAAAUCAUUCAUAGAGUGUAAAGGCAUAAGGGAGCUUGACUGCGAGACCUACAAGUCGAGCAGGGUCGAAAGACGGACUUAGUGAUCCGGUGGUUCCGCAUGGAAGGGCCAUCGCUCAACGGAUAAAAGCUACCCCGGGGAUAACAGGCUUAUCUCCCCCAAGAGUUCACAUCGACGGGGAGGUUUGGCACCUCGAUGUCGGCUCAUCGCAUCCUGGGGCUGUAGUCGGUCCCAAGGG
rnacentral:rRNA from 1 species